rnacentral:lncRNA from 1 species
GAAUCUGCCCUUUCAUCUUAAGGAUACAUUUAGACAUACUUUUUAAUGUCACUGAUAAGGAAGCAUAUUGAAUUCUAGCACUCAGAGAAACCUGAACACAUAUAUGUCAGACAAUGAAGCAUAGGAAGAACAACAAUUUCAACGAAACAGAACCUCCAGAGCCCCCACAGACUAAACUACCAACCACAGAGUACACAUGGAGCGACCCAUGACUCCAGCUGCAUAUGGAGCAGAGGGUGACCUUAACCAGCAUCAAUGAGAGGGGAGCCCCUCCGUCCUGUGAAGAGUUCAGUCUGAAUUUUUUUAAAGAAUUUGUAGUUUCAUCAAAAUAGAGACAAUCAAUACAAGGCAACAAGGAUCCUGAGGACAAAAGAAAGAUACAAUCAAAACAAAGCAAACAAAAUAACAACAAAAA